rnacentral:rRNA from 1 species
UACGUAGGGACCGAGCGUUGUCCGGAAUUAUUGGGCGUAAAGCGCGUGUAGGCGGCCCGUUAAGUCGGCUGUGAAAUCCUGGGGCUCAACCCCAGAACUGCAGUCGAUACUGACGGGCUUGAGGUAGGUAGAGGAGAGUGGAAUUCCCAGUGUAGCGGUGGAAUGCGCAGAUAUUGGGAGGAACACCUAUGGCGAAGGCAGCUCUCUGGGCCUUACCUGACGCUGAGACGCGAAAGCAUGGGUAGCAAACAGG